CCCUUAGAUGUUCUGGGCCGCACGCGCGCUACACUGUUCGACGCAGCGAGUCUUAACCUUGACCGAAAGGUUUGGGUAAUCUUCAGCAAAGUCGAACGUGAUGGGGAUUGAUCAUUGCAAUUAUUGAUCGUGAACGAGGAAUUCCUAGUAAGUGCAAGUCAUCAGCUUGCGCUGAUUACGUCCCUGCCCUUUGUACACACCGCCCGUCGCUACUACCGAUUGAAUGGUUUAGUGAGAUCUCUGGAUUGACGCUGGCUAGGGGGCGACCCUUGGCCAGGCUGUCGAGAAACUGCUCAAACUUGAUCAUUUAGAGGAAGUAAAAGUCGUAACA
rnacentral:rRNA from 1 species